rnacentral:lncRNA from 1 species
CACUCUGUCAGGGAGACUAAGAUAGGUUCCAAGCUAUUAAACUAUCUGCGAUGUACAAGUCAUCAUUAUAAUUGGGGGCACACUUUCUUUUGACCUUUACAAAACUUUCAUUUCCCAAAUGUGACAGAUAAGGAGUGCUUUUAUAGCACCAAUAAUGAUUUUUUCCUAUGGGAACUUGCCAAUUAUAAGCUGAAAACGAAGGAAAGACCAUACUGGAUACACAUUUAGAAUCUCGAUGCACCCAAAAUAUAGCUGAAAUACUUAGGAAUCAUGCUUAGAGGACAGUUCAGGUGAAUUAAGAAUCCAGCUUAGGAGUUACCUUGUGAUACAGCGGGUUAAGGAUCUGAUAUUGUCACUGCAGUGGCUCAAGUGGAUCUGUGGCCUGGGAACUUUUAUAUACUGCAGCUGUGGCCAAAAAAAGGGAAAAGAAUCCAGCUGAGAGAAAUGCAUGUUGAAACAGUGGGAGGGCAAAGAUACACUCCUUGAGCGACUUACCAUAAUGCUAAGUGCCCUAAAAUGUGUUAAGUAAAAAAGUGGUUGAGGGCCCACAAAUGCAUCUGCAAUUAUUAGUCUGAUUCUAAGUUUUUAAAUAUUAACAAAAGUUAGAGGAGUUCUCUUGUAGCUCAGUGGGUUAAGGAGCCCACAUUGCCACUGCAGCAGCUCGGGUAACUGCUGUGGCAUGGGUUCAAUCCCUGGCCCAGGAACUUCCUCAUGCCAUAGGUAUGGCCAAAAACACAAAACAAACAAAAACCCAAAAACAAACAGCAACAUGAAAAUCAUUUAAAAAAAUAAAAAUUUUUGGAGUUCCUGUCGUGGCUCAGUGGUUAACGAAUCUGACUAGGAACCAUGAGGUUGAGGGUUCGACCCCUGGCCUUGCUCAGUGGGUUAAUGAUCCGCCAUUCCCUCUACCUACCUACCCCACAUUCUCCACUGGAAGAGUACACUUUCCUGCCACACUGAUAUUGAGUUUGCCAUGUAACUUGCUUUAUCAGUGGUCCCUAAGCUGAAAUAACAGUGGGUCAGGUCCAAGUGGAGGCUGAAGAGAUACUGCAAGUUUCACCUUGGUCUUUACACUUCUGCCAUCACAGAAGAAUAUGUCACAUGCAAGUCUCGGGAGAGAGACACAGAGAGCAACCCUGAACUCAACUCACAGUCAAGAGCCCAGUCCAAGGGAGCCCAGGCCAGGUAGGUCACAUCCCAGCCAAGCUACAAGACGCACAAACAAGGAACACUUUGUUAUACAUAAGUUACAUACUAUUAGUAAUUAUAAUAAAUAAAUAAGUGUGCAUUGUUCUAUGCCACUGGCUUGUUAUACAGAAAUCACUGACAAAUAAAUUUACUAAUCUUUGGGAACUGCCCACUGCCCCGCAUCUCAUCACCAAUGUACAAGAUCAUAAUCCUAAUUACCAACACUUAGAGAGACACUUCUCAUUUAGAGAAAUAUAGGUAGAUGAAUAUACUGAUAUUUUUAAUGCUCCCACUUGGUUGAAUUAGGUAGAAGAGCUUUUGGUAGAUGGAACCAAGAGAAUUUUUAAAUAAAGUUUGCAAUUGUUUUCUCUACUUUGACUUCUUACUACAAUCACACACUCACUGGAUGAGAAGGAGAUUUUUUUCUUAUACAAAGUAAUAAAUAUGACAAAAUGGAGGUACUCUAAAGACAACCUUUAUGGGUUAGUAUACACAGCAGUUCUUGAAGUAUAAUACCCAAGGGGGCCAGGAAAGUCAGAAGUAUUUUCUUUUUCCUUUUGGGGGGGAGGGGCUUGCUCACAGCACGUGGAAUUUCCCAAGCCUGGGAUCGAAUUCAUGCCACAGCAACAACCCGCGCCACUGCAGUGCCAAUGCUGGAUCCUUAACCUGCUGUGCCACAAGGCAACUCCCAAGAGUAUUUUCGUAAUGACACUAAGACUUGAUUUGCUUUUUUUUAUUCUCAUUCUCUCACAAGUUGGAAUUUUCCAGGGGCCUCAUCACGUUUGAUAUCUCAAUAGACUGAUUGCAGAAGCCAAUAAAAGGAUCCAGAUAUCUUCUGUGAUGCCAGAAAUUAGGGGUUGGCAAAAAUUAAGGUUUUUGUUUUUAAUAAAACUGUGCUAUUCUUAAUAAACUUGUUUUGAAAAAUAUAAUUUUUCAUUUAAAAGAUUUUGUUUUAUAUAAAAUGAGUGUUAUUACUUAAAAGUUAGUACAUACUGUAGAUGUCUCUAAGUCGGGACAUUUCCUCUCUAAUAUGGCAAAUAACUGUGAUAUAGCAAAAAAAACUGUGAUUUUUUUUUCUUAGACAUCAUUUAGGGUCAUAAAGCUGUUCAGGACCCUAAAUGAUUUUUAAGAGGAUAAAGGGACUAGAGACCAAAAAGUUCGAGACAGCCACGAUACUACGACCCAGAGUACAUACCAGUGUGUGUGUUAAAAAAUACAAUGGAGGAGCAGAUUUUAAGCAGGGUGGAGGUGAUAGGGAUGAUUUUGUGGGGCUCCUACAAAAACGAGUCUUAGACCCAACUAUCAUCACCUUCAUAAUGUAGAUGGAAGUGACAGCCAUGUGGCUCCUUUGUGCAGACUUUUUACUUCACUCCUAAUCUGAAGUGCCUUCAAUGGU